rnacentral:rRNA from 1 species
CUUAAUCCUAGAGGGUACUAAGUAAGCAUAAUCUGAUGCCGUUUAAUUGGCGGAGAGUUGAAUGGACGAACGAGCGCAUAACUGUCUUGUUAAAAAUUAAAUUGAAUUAGACAUUCAAGUGAAGAGGCUUGAUUUAAUAGUUGGACGAGAAGACCCCGUGAAGCUUUACUAUAAGUUAAUUAAAUAUGUGUUUUAUAGUUCAUAACUAAUAAAUUUAAGAAUUUUUACAGGUUUUAUUAGUUAACUGGGUAGUUUAGGUGGGGCGCCUGUACUUUAAUAAAAACAAGGAAUUAGCAAUAGUGAAAAAAAAAUUAAACUGUGUAACUUAUUUGUUUAUACAGAGUCAUUUACGGUUAAUCGACCCUUAUUAUUACAAAAUAAGUUAAAGGAUAAUAGCUACUCCGGGGAUAACAGG